rnacentral:lncRNA from 1 species
UUUAAAAUUCAUCAUCUUCUCCAUUAUGCUCAGCAGCUACCGCCAACCCUCCAAAUCUGGUGCUCUGGUUAACGUCUUUAGUGCCGGUAGCAGUGCUAUUGCCGGUGGUGGAACUUUUCUCCUUCCCUAGACCCGUAGCUUUGGUGACCUUCUUAUGACCAUCGGACCGCCACUCAGGGUAUCCAUCCGACAAGUCGGAAGCAUUGGUCCUUGAUAUGUUUUGUCAUACUACAGUGUUCGCACUUUAAGAGAGGUUGGAAAGUUGUAAGGUGAGGUCAUCACCCGAGUUACCUUCGUUGGUCAUGGUGGUAAGCUCUUGAACGUUGGAGAAACUAUGCAUGGAUAUACAUGAGAAUCUUUAGCCUCAAUCAAGAAGGUUAUUUAUUAUUGUUAUUAUUAGUUUAUGAAAAUACUAAUUGGGAAAACAAUCUAGAAAUAUAAGAUAAUAAUAUUGAUGUUACGUUGAAUUAUAGGUGUUUCUAUAUU